rnacentral:rRNA from 1 species
AAUUUGAAAUCUGGCUCUUUCAGAGUCCGAGUUGUAAUUUGAAGAAGGUAUCUUUGGGUCUGGCUCUUGUCUAUGUUUCUUGGAACAGAACGUCACAGAGGGUGAGAAUCCCGUGCGAUGAGAUGAUCCAGGCCUAUGUAAAGUUCCUUCGAAGAGUCGAGUUGUUUGGGAAUGCAGCUCUAAGUGGGUGGUAAAUUCCAUCUAAAGCUAAAUAUUGGCGAGAGACCGAUAGCGAACAAGUACAGUGAUGGAAAGAUGAAAAGAACUUUGAAAAGAGAGUGAAAAAGUACGUGAAAUUGUUGAAAGGGAAGGGCUUGAGAUCAGACUUGGUAUUUUGUAUGUUACUUCUUCGGGGGUGGCCUCUACAGUUUAUCGGGCCAGCAUCAGUUUGGGCGGUAGGAGAAUUGCGUUGGAAUGUGGCACGACUUCGGUUGUGUGUUAUAGCCUUCGUCGAUACUGCCAGCCUAGACUGAGGACUGCGGUUUAUACCUAGGAUGUUGGCAUAAUGAUCUUAAGUCGCCCGUCU